rnacentral:misc_RNA from 1 species
GGAGCAGUAUCGAAGGUACACGGGGGCCCCGACGCACCACGACCGGGGCAGGUAGUUUUUCCUUCGCGCAGCGAGACGGGAAAGUCGUCCGGGGACGCCAUCGGGCCGCGCCGAUAGAGGCCAGACGCCGGGCGGAGCGAUCAGGUGACGCGAGCGCGCGAUCAUGUCGCGUUGGUUCGCGCGACGACGACGGGCCGCCGCGUAAUCAAUCGCGCGAUCAGUCGCUACGCCCGCGGCACGUUUCCCCGCGACAGGAGCGUCGUCCGAACAUGCGGGCGGCGCGGGACGACGGGCACCGAGCGACAACCGAGGAGGCUCCUUCGAGGAACUGUCAGGGGGAUCGUCGCCACCGCCAUCGCCGCCGACGCCGUUACGCGUGAGUCAGUGCGAGACCGGACGGAGGCGACGCGCACGCAAAAUGGCUUCGGGCGACAAUGUGGACGUGAUCGAGGUGGUCGAGACGACGAGCUUCCCCGGGUCGGCGUCGCAGCCCACGGUGGAUCAUCUCAGGCCGGAUCAGUCCACCGCCGAGGAAGAUUAUAAAUCGAUUGGGGAAAAAACUACCGCAUUUGAUAGUUUAGUGGUACAACAUGGUAUCACUGGCGGCAAGACCCCCGUGGGGGUAUCGAGAAACAAAUCGGAACGAGAGAGAAAGAUUGGACAUCGAAGAGUUGGAGUGGGUGGUGAAAUCACAUAUAAAAAGAUUCAAACGACGCAAAUUAUGGGAUCUAUUCAGUUGGGCAUACAGCAUGCUGUUGGUGGCCUUGCAAGUAAACCAGAACGCGAUUUAUUAAUGCAGGACUUUAUGACGGUGGAGACAACGAAUUUCCCUAGUGAAGGAUCAAAUCAUACUCCGGCCCAUCAUUUCUCGGAAUUUAAAUUUAAAAAUUAUGCACCCAUUGCAUUUCGUUAUUUUAGAGAUCUCUUUGGCAUACAACCGGAUGAUUUUUUGAUGUCAAUGUGUAGCGCUCCAUUGCGCGAAUUAUCAAAUCCUGGCGCUAGUGGGAGUAUCUUUUAUCUAACGGAUGAUGAUGAAUUUAUCAUAAAGACUGUGCAGCAUAAAGAAGGGGAAUUUUUACAAACUCUACUUCCAGGAUAUUAUAUGAAUCUAAAUCAGAAUCCGAGAACACUUUUGCCAAAGUUUUUUGGAUUGUAUUGCUAUCGAUGUAAUAGUAAGAAUGUUAGAUUAGUGGCUAUGAAUAAUCUUUUACCUUCAUUUGUAAAAUUGCAUCAGAAAUAUGAUUUGAAAGGAUCUACGUACAAGAGAAAGGCAUCAAAAACAGAACGUUCAAAGUCUUCACCGACGUAUAAAGAUCUAGAUUUUAUGGAGCACCAUCCAGAAGGUAUCUUUUUAGAAGCCGAUACAUAUAGCGCGUUAGUAAAAACUAUUCAACGGGAUUGUCGUGUGUUGGAAAGUUUCAAAAUUAUGGAUUAUUCUUUACUUGUUGGAAUCCAUAAUCUUGAUCAAGCUGCAAAGGAAAAAGCUCAAGAGCAAAGAUUGUCGGCAAGCGCCGAUGAAGAAGUUGGGGAAAUGGGUGAAACAGAUGGAUUUAUUCAAAGUGAGAGGGAAAAAGAUAGAGAGGAUAGAAUAGGCGCUGCCGCUUUAAAUCGAUCGCGUAGUAUAAAUCGUCAGAGAUUAGUUGCUCAUAGUACGGCAAUGGAAAGUAUUCAAGCUGAGAGCGAACCGAUAGAUGAAGAGGAUGAUGUACCCUCAGGCGGCAUUCCUGCCAGAAACGCGCGUGGUGAACGUCUUUUAUUAUUCCUUGGUGUUAUCGAUAUUUUGCAAAGCUACAGAUUGAAAAAGAAAUUAGAACAUACGUGGAAAUCGAUGAUACAUGAUGGGGAUACUGUGUCGGUUCAUCGACCAGGAUUUUACGCGCAACGCUUUCAGGAUUUCAUGGCCAAGACAGUAUUUAAGAAAAUACCAUCACUGGACCUGCCUGAGAUUAAGGGGAAUCACCGCAAAUUCCGUAACCUCGUCACCAGCUAUAUAGCCUUGAAGCAUUCCCCGUCGAAGAGGAAAAGCAUAAGCAGACCACUGAGGCCGCUGGAGGGUGAUUUCGAUUCGACCGCGGUGGCGGCAACUGGAGGUUCGGCAAUGCAUGCUACGUCACCUACGAAAGCCGCAGUUAGCCUGCCCGACUCUACGAUCAGCGCGACGAACGCGGCGGUCACAAGCGGCUCGGUACCGAUCGCCACCUCGACCCCGGUUAAUCCCGCCGCCGGGCCGUUGAGCCCGCCACCGUUGACCUUAGCCGCCGGUCAGGGCCCGCAUCCGCACGAGCAUCCGCCCGGGGCCGCCCCCACGGUCAAGGUCACGAGUUACCCGGCCGUGCUGAAGGGUAGGAGCGCGGCGAGUCCGCCGAAUCCGAACCUGGUGCCGUCCGGCAAGGUCCCGCCGCCGGUGCCGCCGCGGGGCACGGGCCCCUCGAGGACCGGCAGGUCCUCCGAGGAGCACCGGACGGCCGGUGCCACCGCCUCGACGACGUCAUCGGUGACUUCCAGCCGAGGUGGCACCCUUCCUUCCACCUGCUCCACCCCACCCCCGCCCUUUGACGACGCGGUCCGCUCGAACGACCAAACUCUGGCUUCCGGUGGUCAUCUUCAACAAGGCGGCGCGACUAUUCUCGCGAGCAGCCUGAGUUCCGCUCAUACCAAACAAAAUAAGGUUGUUCAUCAUGUUACGCUCACCAAGACGUAUCACGACACUGUAAGGAAAAGGAAAAUCAUAUCGGACGUGCAUUUGGAGAGCAGCGGUAGCGGUAGUGGCAGUGGCGGCAGGGAAACCAAGUCAUCGUUGAGCGUCGAGAGCGGAGGCAGCAGCCGCGGGGGUGGCUGUCUCACGUGGACGCCACCGGCCGGAAGCGCCGAGGGCUCGACGCCCACGUGGACUGAGGGGACGCCAUCCUUCACCGAGAGCUCCAGCAGCGGCGACAUAGGUUGCCCGACGACGCCGAUCAAAGGUAAUCAGCGUCAGGAUGACGGCGGAAGGAUCGCUGCCACCGUAGAAGAAGCACUAGCAAGUCUCACGACCGAAAUGGAGAUACUGCAGCGCGAGUGAGAAUGCACGACUCUCGUCCUUCUUCACUAAUCUUCGUCACUUCGUGUGCAACGUGCUGUGGGUGAUCUGCACCGUCGUAGCGACGAAUCUUCUGAAGUGAAAGUGAGAAAGAGAGAAUGUGCGAGUGAGUGGCUGCGAAGGAGACAUAGAAUGGUUACAGACAGCAAAAGGCGAACCAGCCAAGACGGACAGCAUCAAUUGCAGCAAAGCGCAUCCUUUUCGUUUUAUCGUCAAAUCAGGACGAGUCUGAAGCGCGAUAAUUCGAACCACGUCGCGAUUAUGAGGAACAUGCAA